rnacentral:lncRNA from 1 species
GAUGGUAAAGUGAUUUUCCCAGCUCCCACACCGAAAAAUAUUCCUCAAGGUGCCCCAGUAAAACAGAAGACAGUGGCUGAGCUGGAAGCUGAAAAAGCAGCUACCAUUACACCCUUCAGGAAGACAAUGUCAACGGCUUCUGCAUAUACAGCAGAUGAAGACAGAGAGGGUUGAUAAUUUUACCUAUGAAGACACUGAAGCACAGAGAGGUUAAGUAACUUGCCUGAGAUGACACAGCUAGGGAGCAGCAGAACCAGGAUUCAAACCAGACUGACUUAAGAAAACAUAUUCUUAUUCACAACCCUAUGCAACUUCUCUAAUUUUUAACUGGAAGACAAAAUAGUGUUGUAUCUAACUCUCUCACCAGAUGGUUAAUGGGCUAUGCACUGGAACUUUGGAUACAUGAUAUGUGGGUAGGAAAAUAAAUUAAAACUACAGUCAUAUUGAAUGAUUUAAUGUAAAAUUAAUGUCAAUCCCUAGAUAUUCCAGUGGUGCCACUUCCAAAGUAAUAGUUUACAUCAAGGAAAAAGGUACCUUAUUCAGGAAAGUUAACUUCUAGUUCCCUGGUCACCCACUGUCAUUUUCUUUUUACUGACCACUAGGUAACACUUUCUUCUGUUGCAGAACAACUGUCCACAUGUUUGCUAUCAAGGAAGGCGAUAAUUAAAGAUGUAUGUUCAGA